rnacentral:rRNA from 1 species
GUAACCUAAACCCCCCCAAAAUACCAUUAAUUUUCAUGAACCCCUAAUUUAUAAUGAAUGACUCCAUAUUUAUAUGGAAGACACCAUGCUAGGAUUAGUAACAAGAAUUUAUAAUUCUCCAAAAUGCAAAUAUAAACCAACAUGGAUAGACCAUUGGUAGUUACCGAACCUAAAUUUACUGCAAUAACACCCACAAGAAAACUCUGCAGUACUUACUCGUUAACCUAACACCAGCGCAUUACAGGAAAGAUUAAAAAAAAGAGAAGGAAUUCGGCAAAUGACGGCCCCGCCUGUUUACCAAAAACAUCGCCUCUUGACUUAUAAUAAGAGGUCCAGCCUGCCCAGUGAAUUUUAAACGGCCGCGGUAUCCUAACCGCGCGAAGGUAGCAUAAUCACUUGUUCUUUAAAUGGGGACUCGUAUCAACGGCAUCACGAGGGUUUUACUGUCUCCUCUUUUUGAUCAGUGAAAUUGAUCUUCCCGUGAAGAAGCGGGGAUAUUUUUAUAAGACGAGAAGACCCCAUGGAGCUUUAAACCAAAUAACAACUUAACUACUUAUCCCACAAUAAAUUUAAGCCCUGUUAUAAGGUUUUUGGUUGGGGUGACCGCGGAGUAAAGCACAUCCUCCACGACGGAAAGAACAUAAUCUUUAUUUAAGAACCACACUUCUAGAAAUUAGUAUACUAACGUUUACUGACCCGACAAUCGAUCAACGGACCAAGUUACCCUGGGGAUAACAGCGCAAUCUACUUCAAGAGCUCAUAUCGACAAGUAGGCUUACGACCUCGAUGUUGGAUCAGGGUAUCCCGGUGGUGCAGCCGCUACCGAAGGUUCG